rnacentral:misc_RNA from 1 species
GAUUAAAAAACUAAAAUAUUCAAUUUUUAAAAAGUUAAUUAAUUAAUAAUAAACCAACUCUAGCUAUUUCAACUUCUAGUACAAAACCCUGCUAGAGUAUUCGCACCGCCAAGUCCACACCAUGAAAUGCUCAAAACAGAGACCUGAAGUGGAUGUUUUGGUCGUUUGCUGCACAAGCCUCUGAAAGGAAGAUGUUUCCAAGCGCUUCUGAUUAUGCCUCCAAACCACCUCUAAGCCAGAAAACAGAUGGAAGAUUGCAGUGCAAGAAAGAUUGCAAAAAAAGCCGAGAUUGGGAGCAACAUAGAGAAAAAAUCACCUAAAACAAGCAUAAUUUGAUAUUUUAUUUCCAUUACUGGGUAACAGAAACUGUAACACAGGGAUAUUACUACACAAAAUGGCUUGAGCAGAUGAUUAGUACUUGUGUGGUUGCUAUAAAGGAAAACAACAAAAAUGCCAAGAAAAUAUUUAGAAAGUUGGACCAAAUUGUAUGUAAAAUUGCCUUUAAGAAACUCUCCUAAUCUCCCACAGUCUAAGCCCCAAAACAGCACAGACCUUGUUUUUUUUCCCUUCCCACCCUCAAAUCUUUGAGGACGAGGACCCAUCAAUUCCCUCUGCUACAUCAAGGCGAGUCUGUAACACCUGCAUUGUUAGAAUUCAUGUCCCUAGUGCCAUCUGCUUGUUCCGACUCUGAAAGGCAAUCAAGUAUAUCUACUUGCAACAACUCUUCAUAGAUUUAGAGGAAUCUGCCAAUGAACUCAUGAUUGGGAUCAAUCAAAUGAUCAAAGAUUCUUUAUCAGAAGCACUUCAACAACUAAUCUGGAUUGCUUCAAGCAGAACUCCGAGAAACUCCCAUCAAGUAUGGAAAAAAAAUAUAUCACCAUUGCACAACAUGAAUAUCCCUCUAGAGUUUAAACGCCAGCAAUUUUCACACAAACCACAUUUGUAUUUUUAAUCAGUAGUGCUCUCAACAGUAAUUUUAUUUCCCUGAUUCACAUGGAUUUCAUAUCUUAUGCUUAGAAACACCAUACUUAUGUAGUCUUUCCUGUUUUUGUGUAGGUAAGAAGGAAAAAUUAAUAAGAACUUAUCAAUAAUACCAAUUUUAGUUAGGGUAGGGGAAUGCCUAUAAAUAGGCAUAUGCAAAUGCCAAUCCAGAAAAUUUACUAGCCACAUCAUCCUUAGGCCAAAAUAAACAAAAAUGAUAAUCAUGCACAUAUAGUUCUGCUCAGAAGAUGCAUAAAAAUCAUUAAGUUUCAUAUGUCCAGACAUAUUUCAGCAACUUCAUCAUUGCAGGCGCAUGGGGAAAACCAAAGGCAUGUCCAUGAAAUCAAUUAAGUAAUGGAUGUAAAAUAAUGGUAUUAAGAAAAAGAAAGCAAAUUGCAAAUGAAAUCUCAGAGAUAUUCCAUGAGUGGAUAAUGCAGACAAUCAACACGGCAUCAGUUUCUGACCGCCCGUCUGCUUUUUCUCAUCAUUGUGAACAUAUCAAGUUAAAAUUUCUCUAAACAACAAAAGAAAAGCAUAAAAAUUUUAUUGGAGAUAGAGAAGGCAUCAGAUAAUAAGCGGAGAUUUAAGAUCCACAGUUAAUUCAGUGUGUAGGAUAAUAACUUAUUCAUCAUCUACCUUCAACUUUAGGAUCAUCCAACCAUUUUCUCACAAAUCCAUUAUUAAAGAACAAAAAAGCAAGAAAUUCUAAAGGGUAUCAAAAAUCCCAACUUUCUUCUGUGUUCUUUCAAUAAACAAAAACAAGAAGGAUAACUAACAAACAAACAAACAAUCAAAACAAAAACGCAAGAGUAAAGGGCAUCAGAUAAUAAGCGGAGUUUUUGAUCAACACAGCAAUUCAGUGUGUAGGAUAAGAACUUAUUCAUCACUUGCCAGUUCAAAAUCUAUGUAUACGUGUAUGUUUGGAGGAAAAAAAAAAGAUAAAAUGAAGAGAAUUUCGGUAAGUCCAUUUGACACCAAGGCCAUAUCAAAGAUGCAGCAAUGGGCUGGUAAGCUCACCUUUUCGCUCUCUGCAUCGGUUAUACCUCCUCUAGCAUUGAAAUUUGCCAAAUCAGGAGUGGGUAAACAGAUGCAAGUUUCAAUUCACUGAUUUCUCCCUCAAAAAGACAUAGUAAAUUUCAAGCGAUGAAUCCCAGAUUCUAAGAAACGAAUAGAACAUUUGGAAAACUAUUGCAAUUACCAUGGAAAUAAGAAAUCAACACAUGGAUCUCUAUUCAAAUUGAAAUCGAUUGCCAAUGGUCGCUACAGAAUCUAUGAAGUAAC